CAGGAGACGGAACAACCCCCGGGAAACGCCAUCUUUGUGCGGAGCAUGAUCGCGCAAUGGAAUUCUGUGCAGCCGCCAUCUUUGUGCGGGACCCAGAGCGGAGCAGGUGCAUAGCAAGAGGGAUAUUUGCUGCUGCACCUAGGACCGGGACUUGCCCUUGAGCAGCCAAUCGUCCAGGGCCCAACCAUCGAAUGGCAGGUCCUGCAUGAUCGACUGGGACUCAGCCGAUAGGCCAGAGAGUGAAAGCCAGGACUCCCUUCUUAUGAAAAUCGCCGCGGCCAUCGAAUGAGCAGCCGUGUCCACCGCAUCGGAGGCCGCCUGGAGCGCUGCUUUAGCCGCCGCCGCACCCUCAUCAACAAGAGCCCGGAACUCCUUCCUGUCCUUUUUAUGGAGGGAGGGCUCAGACUUGGGAAGGGACCCUCACAGGUCAAAAUCAUAUCUGCUCAAGAAUGCCUGGUAGUUGGCCACUCUGAGCUGAAAGCUCGCAGACGAAUAAACCUUUCUCCCAAAGGAAUGCAGCCUGUGAACGUCUUUGUCCUUAGGGAUAGGAGUGGGUUGGCCAUGUCUCUCUCGGUGGCUCACCGACUCCACCACUAGAGAGUUCGGAGUUGGGUGGGAGUAUAAGUACUCGUGCACCUUAGUGGGCACAAAGUACUUCCGUUCGGCCUUUUUGAAGAUCGGACAGAGAGAUGCUGGGGUUUGCCAGAGGCCAGUAAUAAUAUUGGCCACCCCGUGAUGGAGUGGGAGGGCCACACGCCCCAGCGUCGAGGAGGUCAAGACAUUAAACAAUGUGUCC